rnacentral:tRNA from 1 species
GCGCCUCUAGUUUAACUGGAAAAACCGCACCCUCUUAAGGUGUCAGACUCAGGGUUCGAAUCCCUGGGGGCGCA